CCCUCUGUACAUUUUCCCAUCUCUCUCACGAUCUAAUUGAUCUCCUAAUUGAUUUCUCAAACUUCUAUAUCUUUUUUAUUCUCUUAAUUUCUCUUAUCUUCCAUUUGAUUUCUCAAACUUCAAAUUGAUUUCCUAAUAUUAAUGGCAGCCCUAUGCAGAUGACAAUGCUUCUCAACGAUUUUGUUCUUCGGCGAUCAAUGGGGCAUUUCAUCAAUUUUUUUCUCUGAUGAUCUGUGGAACAUUUUGGAGAGUUUAUUCUCUAGUAAUCGACAUGGGAAUUUUUGUCGAAUUCGUUCUUUGGCUAACGACAAGAUUUGUUUCAGGUGCUUGAAGGUGGGAGACUAAUUAAGAUAUUCUGGUACAAAUGACUUUGAUGUUGAUUAUUAAUUAUGUCUGUGAAACGCACUCUAUUAUAAUCAUAAUGGUUGUUAACUUGCAUUGGGGACCAGUUCUCAUAACCAGGAUUAAUUUUCCUACUGUAGGUGAUCAAGAACCAUGAAUUGGAGUAAAAAUGCUUAAAAACUGCAUUAUGGUAUUAUGAGAUCAUCUAUCAGCGAGCACAUUUCUCUGUAUUUGGCAAUGUAAUUAUAUCCUAAAAAUGUUGGAAGCCUCUUGAAAUCAUAUAUAGGCACAUUAUACUGUGGGAAUUUUUUUCUUUCCUUUCUAUGAAUUAAAUUAUUUAAAAUUUUUCUUUUUUUUUAUCACUAUAAAUUUUAAAAUCAAGAUAUUCCUCUAUUUAAAAUUAGUUCUCUCUCUGUUCUCAUUUUUAUCAAUUUUACAUAUCACAUUUUUUAGGAACUCUGAUUACAUUAAAAAUUUGUGUUUUGUUUU